GGGUGUGAGGGCGAUGUGGCUGUGACUGAUUGCCAGGGCUGAUACGGCUGAGCCGGCUGCUGGACAGGCGUCCCCUCCCUCCCUGCAUAGCAUCCCUCCCAAAGCCGCGUGCUUGGUGGAAGAGAACAACCUUCCCCGCGAGAGGAGGACCCGUCUUCGGUCAAGGGUAUACGGGUAGCUGGGCUGCCCUGUUGGAACCUCCCAACAAACUCUCAAAGUUCGGAGAAGCUGAGGGACUCGCUGAGACCC
rnacentral:snRNA from 1 species